rnacentral:rRNA from 1 species
CAGCCGCCACGGGAAUACAGAGGGUGCAAGCGUUAAUCGGAUUUACUGGGCGUAAAGGGCGCGUAGGUGGUUAUGUAAGUGAGAUGUGAAAUCCCCGGGCUCAACCUGGGAACUGCAUCUUAUACUGCGUAGCUGGAGUGCAGUAGAGGGUAGUGGAAUUUCCGGUGUAGGGGUGAAAUGCGUAGAUAUCGGAAGGAACACCAGUGGCGAAGGCGGCUACCUGGACUGACACUGACACUGAGGCGCGAAAGCGUGGGGAGCAAACAGGAUUAGAGACCCCAGUAGUCCCUGUCUCUUAUAC